rnacentral:rRNA from 1 species
UACGUAGGGCGCAAGCGUUGUCCGGAAUUAUUGGGCGUAAAGAGCUCGUAGGCGGUUUGUCGCGUCUGCUGUGAAAUCCCGAGGCUCAACCUCGGGCUUGCAGUGGGUACGGGCAGACUAGAGUGCGGUAGGGGAGACUGGAAUUCCUGGUGUAGCGGUGGAAUGCGCAGAUAUCAGGAGGAACACCGAUGGCGAAGGCAGAUCUCUGGGCCGCAACUGACGCUGAGGAGCGAAAUCAUGGGGAGCGAACAGG